rnacentral:rRNA from 1 species
CCUACGGGAGGCAGCAGUGAGGAAUAUUGGUCAAUGGACGAGAGUCUGAACCAGCCAAGUAGCGUGAAGGAUGACUGCCCUAUGGGUUGUAAACUUCUUUUAUAUGGGAAUAAAACGUUCCACGUGUGGGAUUUUGUAUGUACCAUAUGAAUAAGGAUCGGCUAACUCCGUGCCAGCAGCCGCGGUAAUACGGAGGAUCCGAGCGUUAUCCGGAUUUAUUGGGUUUAAAGGGAGCGUAGGUGGAUUGUUAAGUCAGUUGUGAAAGUUUGCGGCUCAACCGUAAAAUUGCAGUUGAAACUGGCAGUCUUGAGUACAGUAGAGGUGGGCGGAAUUCGUGGUGUAGCGGUGAAAUGCUUAGAUAUCACGAAAAACUCCGAUUGCGAAGGCAGUUCACUGGACUGCAACUGACACUGAGGCUCGAAAGUGUGGGUAUCAAACAGGAUUAGAUACCCCAGUAGUC